UUGGUAGGUGUCCCUGAUCCUGGAUCAGUCGAAUGCGGACUCCUACCUUGUGCCGUUGAAAGAUGGAGUCUUUCCUUUCUCUGUAAGAAUAAUCUGUGUAUGAAUGAGAAUGAAUGAUGAGCAGCAGGAUGAGGAUCAGCAGAGCUCUCCCACACAGCGCUCGGAGACAUUCUGUCCUGGACAAUUAUUUCUGAGUCCACUCCCUACAUCCGCGGGGUGACCGUGCUGGACGGGUUUUACCUCUGACCCCGGGGGGACGCAGUAGGAGGCUCAAUAAAGCUAGUCAUUGCUGCAUACAAAUCACACAAUGGAGAAUGGGAGACUUAAAUAUGGAGCAGAGAGAGAGGAAAUUGGAAACAUCGCUUUCAGCAUUAUGGGCAUAGUGAAGAUGAUCGCUGAAUGUGCAUAUAUAUUGCUGCUUAGGCUAAGAGGAAUAUCAUGGCUGCCAUAGAGAGGAGGAACCAUCACAGAGCAGACAUAUGUGCCCUCACUGUGCUUUCUGGUUGGUUCAAGUUUAAAGGAGGCGUUUCCGCCAGCGAUGGUCUUGAC